rnacentral:rRNA from 1 species
AUUGAACGCUGGCGGAAUGCUUUACACAUGCAAGUCGAACGGCAGCACGGGGGCAACCCUGGUGGCGAGUGGCGAACGGGUGAGUAAUGUAUCGGAACGUGCCCAGUCGUGGGGGAUAACGUAGUGAAAAUUACGCUAAUACCGCAUACGAUCUAUGGAUGAAAGCGGGGGAUCGCAAGACCUCGCGCGAUUGGAGCGGCCGAUAUCAGAUUAGGUAGUUGGUGGGGUAAAGGCUCACCAAGCCGACGAUCUGUAGCUGGUCUGAGAGGACGACCAGCCACACUGGAACUGAGACACGGUCCAGACUCCUACGGGAGGCAGCAGUGGGGAAUUUUGGACAAUGGGCGAAAGCCUGAUCCAGCCAUUCCGCGUGCAGGAUGAAGGCCUUCGGGUUGUAAACUGCUUUUGUACGGAACGAAACGGCGAGCUCUAAUACAGUUUGCUAAUGACGGUACCGUAAGAAUAAGCACCGGCUAACUACGUGCCAGCCGCCGCUGUAAUAC